rnacentral:rRNA from 1 species
UACAGAGGGUGCGAGCGUUAAUCGGAAUUACUGGGCGUAAAGCGCACGUAGGUGGCGACGUAAGUCGGGUGUGAAAGCCCCGGGCUCAACCUGGGAAUUGCAUUCGAGACUGCAUUGCUGGAGUACGGAAGAGGAGGGCGGAAUUCCCGGUGUAGCGGUGAAAUGCGUAGAUAUGCGGAGGAACACCGAUGGCGAAGGCAAUCCCCUGGGCCUGCACUGACGCUCAUGCACGAAAGCGUGGGGAGCAAACAGG